CCUCAUGUGAUGUUACUAGAAAGUUUACGCACCGCUGGUCUGGCUUAAGUCCGCUCUGUUUAUGUAUGGAUGGACAUAUGUGGACAAUGCGGUGAUAUCAGUCGUGCGCAAACACUCAGCAAGCGAACCUGGCAUUAGGAGCCUUUUUUAAAGCCAAAGAACCAUCCUUGGAUCGUAAAAGUAAUUGAAAACUGACCUUAAACACAGCCAAGGAUUGCGCCUUUUGUUUGUUAAUAUUCAGCUCUGCGCGCUGCUGGAGAGCCUGAGUGGGAACUUGGAAAUGAGGCUUUAGAUUUUCACUGCAGCCAGACAUGGGCACCGGUACAAGCCGAGGAAAGAAAGUCGCACCUGCGUGUGUCAGCGAGGUGAACGUGACCAAAGCAGGAGCAGGAGUCAUUUCACCCAAACAGGACAACAGCUCAUUCAAACCUCUUCAAAUCCAUACGAUUUUGCGCAAUGCGCGUAACCGUGCGCAACCGGACUGCCACAGCGAAGGACACGACUCUGACUUCUCUGCUGAGGAUGAUGAUGGAGAGUUGGACACAGUUCUAAACAGUUACGAGGAAAGAGAGAGAACUUCUGUGAAGAAGACUCCAGCGAAGAAGACGUUCAUUCGAUCCAAGACAUACGGGCUGUGUCACUUUAGGCAGGAGGAGGCUGAGGACGACUCCAGCUCUCCACGUGUCUCACAUAAAGCGUCGAGCCAAGAUGUAAACAAGAAGAGCAACGCUGCUUUUACGCACUCCAAAAAACAAACAGCUGCGAGCCACACAAAGCACAGUUCUCCAUCACAAGGCUUCUUGACCAGAGGGGCUUUGUUGGAAGCUGUUCCCACACCAGAAAAACAACCGACUUUUGGCAGCUGCCACAGCUCUUCUAUCACCAUGCCAGUCAUCCUGUACGAUGGAUCAGAAGAGGAGCUGAUGGACACCAUUGAGAGGGAAUUUAGUUGACCCCCCCUCUGAGAACGCUGCAGAAGAGCUACUGUCCUUUUAUAUAUAGUUUAUAGAAGACAUUUUUAAAAAGAGAAAGGGAACCAGGGUUUGACAAAUUCCCUGCUUUAGAGGGAAGGCUGUGUGAUUUGUGUUUAUUCAGGGUUGUCUAGACAAAUUAAACAUUACAUUUGUCCCCUCUUGGCCUUAGAAUUAACCCAACUUUUAUUUAACAACACAAAAGCCAGGCAGUUCUCCUCCUCCACUGACCGGGGCUGUUAGCUGACAGAGGCCUCCUUGGUUUGUCGUCAGCAGUAGGAGGGUGUCACUGUCUGGCUGAGCAUGCUCCUAACUUACAUUGAGUAUCCAUAAAUAUACAAUUCAGCAGAAAAUGUACAUUCUUGAGGCUUUUUUUAGGUUUUAUGUGUAGCACAGUGUGGCUGUUCAUGGGGCAGCCCUGCAGAGGCAUGAGCAGGAAUGUUUAUUUAAGGUUUCCUUCCUGACCAAAGCUCCUGUGUUGUAUGAAGGAGACAUGUGUGACUCUGUAGCAGUACUGACAUUUACUUUAAAUGUAAACUUAUUGUACCA
rnacentral:lncRNA from 1 species